GGAGAGAUGACCGAGUGGCCGAAGGUACCGGUUUGCUAAACCGGCGUGGGGGGUAAACCCCCACCGAGGGUUCGAAUCCCUCUCUCUCCG
rnacentral:tRNA from 1 species